rnacentral:rRNA from 1 species
UACGUAGGGGGCAAGCGUUGUCCGGAUUCACUGGGUGUAAAGGGCGCGUAGGCGGGUUUGUAAGUCAGUGGUGAAAUCCUGCAGCUUAACUGCAGAACUGCCUCUGAUACUGCAAGUCUUGAGUAUGGAAGAGAGUGACGGAAUUCCAGGUGUAGUGGUGAAAUACGUAGAUAUCUGGAAGAACACCAGUGGCGAAGGCGGUCACUUGGUCCAUUACUGACGCUGAGGCGCGAAAGCGUGGGGAGCAAACAGGAUUAGAUACCCUGGUAGUCCACGCUGUAAACGAUGAAUACUAGAUGUUGGCUUUAUUAAGUCAGUGUCGCAGCUAACGCAUUAAGUAUUCCACCUGGGGAGUACGAUCGCAAGGUUGAA